GCGAAAGUGGCGGAAUUGGCAGACGCGCUAGAUUCAGGUUCUAGUAGUCGCAAGGCUGUGGGGGUUCAAGUCCCCCCUUUCGCA
rnacentral:tRNA from 1 species